rnacentral:rRNA from 1 species
GCCAGACUCCUACGGGAGGCAGCAGUGGGGGAUAUUGCACAAUGGGGGGAACCCUGAUGCAGCGACGCCGCGUGGGUGAAGGAGCGUUUCGGCGCGUAAAGCCCUAUCGGCAGGGAAGAAGGAGGACGGUACCUGACUAAGAAGCCCCGGCUAACUACGUGCCAGCAGCCGCGGUGAUACGUAGGGGGCGAGCGUUAUCCGGAUUUACUGGGUGUAAAGGGAGCGUAGACGGUUCUGCAAGUCUGAAGUGAAAGCCCGUGGCUUAACCGCGGAACGGCUUUGGAAACUGUGGAACUGGAGUGCUGGAGAGGCAAGCGGAAUUCCUAGUGUAGCGGUGAAAUGCGUAGAUAUUAGGAGGAACACCAGUGGCGAAGGCGGCUUGCUGGACAGUAACUGACGUUGAGGCUCGAAAGCGUGGGGAGCAAACAGGAUUAGAUACCCCCGUAA